rnacentral:lncRNA from 10 species
CCGAGGUCAUAUGGUAACUGCAGGACAGGGUCGUGAUUUGAAGCCAAGCUUGUCUGACUCACAAGCCUGGGCUAUUUGCCUUUAAAGUGAGGGGUUAUGUAAGGCAUUCUCUAAUUGGGUCAUCCUGGAAAUACAGACUGAGUAUGUGAUUUCCACAGAACAAGGCAGGCAGAAGGCCCUCCUCCUCUACACCUCAGAGGGUUCUGAAUGAAGAUUGUGCCAAUUAAAAGGUGCCCUGGUUGGCCACAAAGCCCAGAACUAGAAAUAGA